AAUGCUCCCACACUGAUAUUAAUGGUGUCCUCAGAGUCUGACCAGUUUGUGAAUAAGGCCACAGCCCUUCCCCUUCUGAUUUGCUCUUGUUGUUUGUUUGUUGUUUUAAUUUUCUAUUGUAGGAUAAUUGCUUUACAAUAUCGUGCUAGUUUCUGCCAUACAUCAGCAUGAAUAUUGUUCGAUUUUAAUUGCAUUAGUCCAAGGGGUGAAGUUCUGGUCAGGGAGACUUUCUGGAUCGCUUCCAGAGGUCAGUGCAGAAGCCCUGCUGACUGCCAUGCUGAGGACCAGCUGGGCCAGAGAGUGGCCACUGUGCCCUAGGGCAAGGGCUUCGCUGACCUGGCCAAGCUGUCCACAAGAAGGUGCUUAAAGAUGCUGUGUCUUCUGCUUUCUCCUAAGGCCAGGUUGGUAAGGCUCUCUAGAGAGACAGGAAGGAUAAACAUGUCUUCCUCCNNNNNNNNNNAAGAGGAAGACAUGUUUAUCCUUCCUGUCUCUCUAGAGAGCCUUACCAAGCUGGCCUUACGAGAAAGCAGAAGACACAGCUUGGCUAGGACAGUGAAGCCCUUGGACAAGCCCCUCCUGGCCCUUCUCAUGAAUUAUAAAGUUUUUGCUAGGAGAGAUAAUAGGAAUUAGAUGCCCUUAUUUUCUUUGUUAAUAUUCUCUUUAGAAUUCCCUGGUGGUCUGUGGUUAGGACUCCACGCUUCCACUGCAGGGGACACAGGCUUCAUCCCUGGUCAAGGAACUAAGAUCCCAAAUGCCACAUGGCCAAAAAUAAAUAAAUAAUAAAAGUAUUUAAAAAAUAAUGAUUUNNNNNNNNNNNNNNNNNNNNNNNNNNNNNNNNNNNNNNNNNNNNNNNNNNNNNNNNNNNNNNNNNNNNNNNNNNNNNNNNNNNNNNNNNNNNNNNNNNNUUAAAAAAUAAUGAUUUUCUCUUUACCCUUCUUUCCUUUAUCAUUCAUCCUUUACCACAUUUGAUGUAUGGCUUCUAGAAAUUUUUUAAUUUUAAUUUUAUAAAUUAAAUUAAUUUUUAAUUUAAAAAUUAAAAUUUUUAAUUUUUAAAAUUAAAAAAAUUUCUAAAACUAUUUUUUCUCCUUAAUAUAAUUUAUGCUUUUAUAGUUUUUCUCUUCUUUCUAUGUCUUAUGUUCUUAGGUACUUGUUAUAAAAACGAUAACUCGGUAAUUACCCAUUGAAUUGCUGAAAGGCAUAGGACUGUGAGAAACGAGGCAGCUGGAUGUUUCAUUAAUGAUAAGGUUCUGAGGCAGGAAAUAUGNNNNNNNNNNNNNNNNNNNNNNNNNNNNNNNNNCCUGGCUACAAAUUAAGCUUCAGUUGGGGAGAAGUGGAUGUGGGGAAACCUGGGAAAAUAUAGUCUUGGGAAAGAAUAUGGAGUCACAGGAAGUACCAGAAAGAUAAGGACCGAUUCUAAUGAGUUAAUAAAAUUCCAGAGGACACCCAUGGUGUUUUUAAACCCUGCUCUGUGUCUGUUAUGUCUGAAAAGAGAAACAAGCACAAUGUGAAGGCCACUGGGCAGACCCUUGCAAGGGAAUUGUCAUCAGUCACAGUGGUUGUGCACCACACCUGGAAUGAUUUCUUAUUUCUUAUCAAGGUCUCCCUGAUUUUGUGGCUUCCCAGGGGGCUCAGCAGUAAAUAACCUACUUGCCCACAUAUGAAGCACAAGAUACUUGUGUUUGAUCCCUGACUUGGGAAGAUUCUCUGGAGAAGGAAAUGGCAACCCGUUCCAGGAUUCUUGGCUGGGAAGUCCCAUGGACAGAAGGAGCCUGGUGGGGGCUAUAGUCCACGGGGGUCGCAAGAAGUCCAAUGUGACUGAGCUUCUGAGCACAUUCUUUGGAGAUUGGUUCAGAGCUGUAUAAGAAAACUUUACUCUCCUCCCUUUUUUUUCCUUUAACAAACUGCUCAAGGUUUUACUUUAUGGAUUUAUUACAAGUCACAUGACCAGUUAGUUAUUCGUGAUGGAUAUUCUUGACGGGCUGCUUCCAGUCUUCUGCUAACAUGAAGAGUGCAACAGUGAGGAGUCUCCUAAGCACAUGAUUUUGCACAUGUAUGUUCAGGUAUUUAAGAGAAAUUUCCAGAAGAGAGAUUGUUGCAUCAAAGACAUUGUUGUGUAUUUGUAAUUUUAAUAAAUAUUACCAAACUUCUUUUCAUAAAGUCUGUGUCAAUUUCACCUCCGUGGUAAUGUAUGAAAGUACCUGAAUUUUCCAAACUCUAACACCAUUUCAUAUUAUUUUUAGUAUUUGUCAAAUUUAUAGGUAAGAAAUGGUAUAUCAGUGGCUUUAUUUUUAUUUCUUCUUGGUAUGAAUGGCAUUGAGCUUAUUUACUAAUGUUUAAGAACCAUUUAUAUUUUCUUUUCUGUAAACUAUUUUAUCCUAUUGUUAGUAUUUUUCUUUUUUCUUUCAGCACUUGAAAUAUUUUAUUCCACUCUUUUCUUGCUUGCAUAGUUUCCGAAGAGAAGUCCGAUGUAAUUCUUACUCUUGUUCCUCUAUAGGCAAGAUUUUUUAUCCCCUUUCUGGCCACUUGCAAGAUUUUCUCUUUGUCCUUGUUUGUCUACAUUGUAGACAUGGAAUAUGAUAUGAAGAACAUGGGAUACAGCAUAGAUUUUUUUGGUAUUUAUCCUACUUGGUAUCUAUGAGCUUUUUAGAUCUGUGGCUUAGAAUCUGUCAUUAAUUUUGGAAACUUCUCAACUAUUAUCAUUUCAAAUAUUUCUUCUUCUUCUUAUCUUCCCAUUACAUAUAUGUUACACCUUUCAUAAUUGUCCCACAGUUAUUGGAUAUUCUGUUCCAUUUGUUUCAUCUUUGCAUUUCUGCUUGAGAAACCUCUAUUAACAUAUUAUUAAACUCACUUGUUCUUUCCUUGGC
rnacentral:lncRNA from 1 species